AAUCCAGAGAUGGAUUUGUGCCUUCGGGAACUGUGAGACAGGUGCUGCAUGGCUGUCGUCAGCUCGUGUUGUGAAAUGUUGGGUUAAGUCCCGCAACGAGCGCAACCCUUAUCCUUUGUUGCCAGCGAUUAGGUCGGGAACUCAAAGGAGACUGCCAGUGAUAAACUGGAGGAAGGUGGGGAUGACGUCAAGUCAUCAUGGCCCUUACGACCAGGGCUACACACGUGCUACAAUGGCGCAUACAAAGAGAAGCGACCUCGCGAGAGCAAGCGGACCUCAUAAAGUGCGUCGUAGUCCGGAUUGGAGUCUGCAACUCGACUCCAUGAAGUCGGAAUCGCUAGUAAUCGUGGAUCAGAAUGCCACGGUGAAUACGUUCCCGGGCCUUGUACACACCGCCCGUCACACCAUGGGAGUGGGUUGCAAAAGAAGUAGGUAGCUUAACCUUCGGGAGGGCGCUUACCACUUUGUGAUUCAUGACUGGGGUGAAGUCGUAACAAGGUAACCGUAGGGGAACCUGCGGUUGGAUCACCUCCUUA
rnacentral:rRNA from 2 species